rnacentral:lncRNA from 1 species
AAGAGAAGUACAUUCAGAAUCUUCUCGCUCGUGCUGCUCUUAGUGAUAGGGUCAUUGUUGACACUCUCAUGGAGCUCAACGUCCACCUUUGUGCUUCCGAAAGUGAGCUAUCAGGAUUGCGCCCAACCAUGUGAAGCUUGAGCUCACCAAGCAUAUUAAUGUCGAUGCCUCCUUCGUGCGUGUAGAAUCAGAUUAUUACUCUUCAGUAUGUGCCUUUCGAUUUACCCUUGGUCAGUUUCUUCAUGAAGGCCUAAACAUAAGCACAAGAGAGCUUUUACCUCUCCAAAUCCACCAACAAUUGGCUGGUUUCUACACGAAGAUUCAAACAAAGCACAACAUGGCUUAUAUCUCUCCAAAUUAAAUGUUGUUGAUCCACCAUGACCUUGAGGAUUUUGGUGUUUCUAUCACUACAUUACUCCUCGUGUCAUACCAUACAGUAGAUGAGCUAUCAAGAAUUCGCUCGUCUUAGUGAAUAAUUUUUAUGUUUGAUAUCUGUCCUCUUAGAUACUUCAUUGGAAUUGACGUUUCUCCUACUUCUGGUGGCUUCUUUAUUUCCGAAGAGAAGUAUAUUCAGGAUCUUCUCGCUCAUGCUGCUCUUAAUGAUAGGGCCAUUGUUGACAAUACCAUGGAGCUCAACGUCCACCUUCGUGCUUCUGAAAGUGAGCCCUUGUUUGAUCUGACGCGCUACCGUCAUCUUGUUGGGAGUCUUUCAGAGGUCACUUGUCCACACAUUUCAUAUCACGUCAUUCCAAGUCAGUUUGUUUCUGCUCUCACUUUGAUCCACUUGAGUCACCUUCCAUGUAUUCCAUGAUACAUUUGUGGAACUAUCUCUCACCUAUGCUAUAGUUCUACGAUAUCUUUGUGGAACUAUAUCUUCUUCCUAUGCUCAAGCUUGUUCGUUCCUUUGUAAUUAUUGUCUUUCUAAUUAUUGUGUUUUUCUUGAUGAUUUUCUCAUUGCCCGGAAGACAAAGAAACAGACAUCGCUUUUCCCUUUGAGUGCAAAGGUUGAGUUGCAAGCUAUGACUUCAUUGACAACGAAGGCGACUUGGUUAUGAUGGUUGCUUGAGGAGUUUGGUGUUUUUGGCACUAGACCUACUCAUCCCUUGUUAGACCGUACAAAUAUAAUCAGUAUUGCGCGUAGCCCUUUGAAGCAUGAGCUCACCAAACAAAUUGGUGUUGAUGCGCCCUUUGAAUGGUCCAGUGUGCAGGAUCAAAUAAUUGAUGUUUAGUUUGUGCCUUCCGGUUUACAGUCGGUCGAUUUCUACACGGAGACUCAAAUAGAGAACAGCACGGUUCUCUCUCCUAAGUUAGUGUUCUUGAUCCACCAUGACCUCGAACAUUUUGGUGUUUCUAUCACUACAUUACCAUGGAACUCAACGUCCACCUUUGUGCUUCCGACAGAGAGCCUUUGUUCUAUGUAACACGCUACCGUCAUCUUGUCGGGAGUCUUGUCAGAUGUCACAUGUCCACACAUUUCAUAUCAUGUUGUCAUUCCAAGUCAGCUUGUUUCUGCUCUCACUUUAAGUGUUCUAUGAUAUCUUUGUGGAACUAUCUCUCACUGUUUCUCUUCUUCCUAUGCUCAAGUUCGCUCGUCCCUUUCUAAUUAUUGUGUUCCGACCAUGUGAAGCAUGAGCUUACCAAGCACAUUAAUGUUGAUGCCUCCUUCGUGCAAAUCCCGUGCGGGAUCAGAUUAUUACUCUUCAAUAUGUACCUUUCGAUUUACUGUUGGUUGGUUUCUUCAUAAAGGUUUAGACAGGAGCGCAACACAUCUUUUAUCUCUCCAAGCCAUAGGGCCCAACAGUUGUCGCACCUCAUUGAACAAGCACGUCAUGUCAUCCCGAGUAGUACAUCCAUGUGAAGACAACAAAUCUGCCCACAACCGUUCGUCGUCGCGGCUAAGCACAAGCAUAGGGUGCAUUAUUCCUUUCUCCUCCAUGUGUCCUCUUCCGCCUUUCUCGCUUCCACUAAUGCCAUCCCCUCACCACUCAACUCCACGUCCAAAAGCUAAAUUGUCGGUCCGCUCCCGAUACCGUUUUCACCCCUUCCACCACAACCCUCGUGCACUCUCUGCUCCCUGCCUGUACGGUUUGCUCUGUCACUGUCUCGGUCCCACAACUCGUGUUCCCCCGGAGGGCGCCACUAAAGCCGAACGCUCGCGCACCACCUAUCGGCGGAGCAGGAGCCAGGGCAGUCGGCACCGCAAUGACUAACCCACAUGAUGCGUGCAAGACGCUACCUGUCGCCGGGGCCAAGGACAACCAACAAGGGAACAUGGCAUGCCACAUCAAGUCAAUGGCACAUAACCUGCGAACAGGGGAAGGACACCAAACCGGAUCGACGAGGAACAAAGAUUGCACAACUUCGACGCCUACUUCUUUCAAUUUUAGUUUCAUAGCCCGGUGCUUCUUCAUCAACCUCUUUAGUUGAGCCCCUGACUACACUGGUGGUUACUCAACCUUGGUGUCUUUUGGUCCUCCAUCAACAAAUUUUGCAACUUCACUAGUGGACAAUUUGUACAAAAGAAGAGAAGACAAGGGAAAUAUGUUUGGUCUUUUCACUAGUUUUCAACAAUAAAGCACACCAGAGCCAAUCAGAAAUUCAUUCACUUCAAACACUUAUAAGACACAAUAAGUCGUAAAUGAUAAAUCUUUUUGGAAUUUUUGGGUUUUGCAACUUAAACACAAAGAUGAAAAAAAUGAAAANCCACUAAUGCCAUCCCCUCACCACUCAACUCCACGUCCAAAAGCUAAAUUGUCGGUCCGCUCCCGAUACCGUUUUCACCCCUUCCACCACAACCCUCGUGCACUCUCUGCUCCCUGCCUGUACGGUUUGCUCUGUCACUGUCUCGGUCCCACAACUCGUGUUCCCCCGGAGGGCGCCACUAAAGCCGAACGCUCGCGCACCACCUAUCGGCGGAGCAGGAGCCAGGGCAGUCGGCACCGCAAUGACUAACCCACAUGAUGCGUGCACGACGCUACCUGUCGCCGGGGCCAAGGACAACCAACAAGGGAACAUGGCAUGCAACAUCAAGUCAAUGGCACAUAACCUGCGAACAGGGGAAGGACACCAAACCGGAUCGACGAGGAACAAAGAUUGCACAACUUCGACGCCUAAUUCUUUAAGGUUUUAGUUUCAUAGCAAGCUGCUUCUUCAUCAACCUCUUUAGUUGAGCCCCUGACUACACUGGUGGUUACUCAACCUAGGUGUCUUUUGGUCCUCCAUCAACAAAUUUUGCAACUUCACUAGUGGACAAUUUGUACAAAAGAAGAGAAGACAAGGGAAAUAUGUUUGGUCUUUUCACUAGUUUUCAACAAUAAAGCACACCAGAGCCAAUCAGAAAUUCAUUCACUUCAAACACUUAUAAGACACAAUAAGUCGUAAAUGAUAAAUCUUUUUGGAAUUUUUGGGUUUUGCAACUUAAACACAAAGAUGAAAAAAAUGAAAAAAAGAAAACGACAAUGAAAAGCCAAAAAGAACAAUCAAAACAAAACAGAGGAAAACAAAAGAACAAUGAAAGAGAAAUAUUUUUUGAAUUUCUAAAAAAAGGCAAAAGGAAGAACUCAAAAAACAAAUCAGAAAUAAAUUUGGAAUAUUUGAUUUUUUUUAAAUUAGGCAAACAAGAACGCAAACAUAAAAGAUAUCUAAAGUUUCAACAAAGAGGCACUCAAAUAAACUUCGAAUAAAAAGCAAAAAAAACAAAGAAAUAUGUUCGUUGUUUCCUCAAAGAACUUCAAAAUUCCAAAAGAACAAAAGGAGACAGAAAUCUUUUGGGGUUUUUUAAAGCAAACAACAAACAAAAGAAACACUUGAGACUCAAUAAGCCGCAAACAAGAAAUCUUUUUGUAACUUUUGGGUAUCACAACGUAAACACAAAAGAUGAAGAAACGACAAAAAAAGCAAGAAAAGCCUAAAAUAACAACCAAAAGAAAACAACAGAAAACAAAAGAGAAACGAAAGAGAAGUACUUCUGUAUUUUUUUGAAACAAGAAUUAGAGAAACACAACAGAAAUAUUUUUAGAAUUUUUAGCAUUCUCAAAGAAGGCAAAAAAUAACGCAAAGAGAAGCAAAUAAAAAAUCCAAAGUUUCAACUAAGAGGAAAUCAAAUAAACUUCCACAUGAAAAGCGAAAAGAACGAAGAAUAUAUUUUUUGUUUUCUCAAAGAAUUCCAAAAGAACAAAAGGACAAAGAAAUGUUUUUCCUUUUAAAUGAAAGAGCAAACAAACAAAAGAAAGAAUAAUAAGCAAAAAAAUAAAAACACUACAAACAAUUGAGACGCAACGUAGAAAUCUUGUUGGAAUUUUUCGGUUUCGCAACUUAAAGACGAAAGAAACGACAAAAAGAAAACAGCAAGAAAAUCCAAAAAGGAAAAAAAAUAUUUAUGUAUUUUUUGAAACAAAAAAAGGCAAAGAGCACAAAGAACCACAAAAGAAAUAUUUUCAAAAAAAAAAUAGUUUGCUCAAAGUAGGCAAAUAGGAACGCAAAGAGAAGCCGAGAUAAAAGAUUUCCAAAGUCCCUUCUAAAGGAAAUCAAAUAACCUCCAAAGAAAAAGCAAAAGGAAAGAAGAAUAUUUUUCUUGUUUUCCCAAGAAAAUUCAAAAGGACAAAAGGACGAAGAAAUACUUUUUUAAAGAAACAAUAGGAAGCAAAAAACAAAAAAACAGCAACACUUCAAACCUUUUAUCCACCUCACUCGUCCCCUAAGGCUUCCUCGAUGAUUCCCACUCAUCCUCCUUUUUACUACACUACUCGUCUAUAUCUUGUGGAUUCUUCUGAUGCGCGAUCGUUCGAUGAUCCCUCUCCCUCGAGUACUAUGUCUCCGUCUCCCUCGAAUACUAUGUCUCCUUCUAUUGGCAACGCACUUCCUCCAGCUCAACCUACUUAUGGCUUCUAGCCUCGCCCACUUCCGCCUAUUGAUCACUAUGGGUAUUCUAGGGUUGUUCUUCUCAAUACGACUUACCGUGAAGUCAUGUUCAUCCGGAACGACGACAUGCGAUGGCACAGGAUAGUGUUGCUCUUUGAACGUAUCGGCACGUGGGAUCUCAUUACCCUUCCUCCCCAUGCUCAUCCCAUCAGUUGUAUCUUCUAAAUGGGUCUAGAAGAUUUAGACUUUGAUGGUUCUCUUGUGUUACAAAGCUAGUCUUGUGACCUGUGGCUUUCAACGGAAACAUGGCUAUGACUACGAUGAGACAUUUGCUCAUAUGGCCACACGACCACCCUUCCGACACUUCUUGCAAUGAUAUUUGUUCACCACUCGUUCGUCUCUCACCUUGAUGUCAAGAAUGUAUUCUUAACGAUGAGUUGCAUGAGGAAGUCUACAUGUAGCAACCACCUAGAUAUUUUUUUCCCUGGUGGCAUGAUCUACCGUCUUCAUCGCCUCUAUAUGCCUUUAGUUCCUCGUGUACGGUUUGAGUAUUUUUUCUCAAUGAUGAUUGCAAGUAGUUUUUGCCAAAUGAUCAUGAUCUGCACUUUCUAUCCAUCUUUCAGCUUGUGGUCGAACUUCGCUCCUAUAUGUCGAUGACAUGAUCAUCAUUGCCAAGUGUAGUGCCAUUUUGAAGUUUUUAUGUCUGAUAUUGGUCCUCCUUGCUACUUCCUUGGAAUUGAGGUUUCUUCUAUUUCUGAUGGCUUCUUUAUUUCUCAAGAGACUUAUUCAGAAUCUUCUCGCUCGUGCUGCUCUUAGUGAUAGGGUCAUUGUUGACACUCCCAUGGAGCUCAACGUCCACCUUUGUGCUUCCGAAAGUGAGCCUUUUUUUGAUCUGAUGCGCUACCGUCAUCUUGUUAGGAGUCUUGUCAGAUGUCACUCGUCCAGACAUUACAUAACACGUUGUCAUUCCAAGUCGGUUUGUUUCUGCUCCCACUUGAUUCACCUUCCCCGUGUUCUACGAUAAUUUUGUGGAAAUAUCUCUCACUGUCUCUCUUCUUCCAAUGCUUAAGUUCGCUCGUCCCUUUCUACUUAUCGUGUUUUUCUUGAUGGUUUACUCAUUGCCCGAAAGAGAAAGAAACAACUUGCACUUUUCCCUUUGAGUGCAAAGGUUGAGUUGCAAGCUAUGACUUUGUUCACAACAGAGGUGACUUGGUUACAAUGGUUGCUUUAAUAUGUGCCUUCCAAUUUACACGGCCUCUCUCUCUCCAAAGUCGGUGUUUUUGAUCCACCAUGACCAUGAGGAUUUUAGUGUUUCUAUCACCACAUUAUUCCUCAUGUCAUACCAUAUUGUAGAUGAGCUAUCAGCAUUGCGCCCAACCAUGUGAAGCAUGAGCUCACCAAGCAUAUUAAGGUCGAUGCCUCCUUCGUGCGUGUAGGAUCAGAUUAUUACUCUUCAGUAUGUGCCUUUCGAUUUACACUUCGUCAGUUUCUUCAUGAUGAAGGCUUAGACAUAAGCACAAGACAGCUUUUACCUCUCAAAUCCACCAACAAUUGGCUGUUUUCUACACGAAGAUUCAAACAAAGCACAACAUGGCUUCUUACUGUCCAAAUUCAAUGUUGUUGAUCCACCAUGACCUUGAGGAUUUUGGUGUUUCUAUCACUAUAUUACUCCUCGUGUCAUACCAUACAGUAGAUGAGCUAUCAAGAAUUCGCUCAUCUUAGUGAAUAAUUUUUAUGUUUGAUAUUGGUCCUCUUCGCUACUUCAUUGGAAUUGACGUUUCUUCUACUUCUGGUGGCUUCUUUAUUUCUCAAGAGAAGUACAUUCAGGAUCUUCUCGCUCGUGCUGCUCUUAAUGAUAGGGCCAUUGUUGACAAUACCAUGGAGCUCAACGUCCACCUUUGUGCUUCUGACAGUGAGCCCUUGUUUGAUCUGACGUGCUACCGUCAUCUUGUUAGGAGCCUUUCAGAUGUCAUUCGUCCACACAUUUCAUAUCACGUCAUUCCAAGUUAGUUUGUUUCUGCGCUCACUUUGAUCCACUUGAGUCACCUUCCAUGCGUUCUAUGAUAUCUUUGUGGAACUAUCUCUCACCUAUGCUCAAGUUCUAUGAUAUCUUUGUGGAACUAUAUCUUCUUCCUAUGCUCAAGUUUGUUCGUUCCUUUGUAAUUAUUGUGUCUUUCUAAUUACUGUGUUUUUCUUGAUGAUUUUCUCAUUGCCCGGAAGACAAAGAAACAGACCGCUCUUUUCCAUUUGAGUGCAAAGGCUGAGUUGCAAGCUAUGACUUUGUUGACAACAAAGGUGACUUGGUUACGAUGGUUGCUUGAGGAUUUUGUGUUUUUGGCACUAGACCUACUCAUCCCUUGUCAGACCGUACAAAUAUAAUCAGUAUUGCGCGUAGCCCUCUGAAGCAUGAGCUCACCAAGCAUAUUGGUGUAACACCACCCUUUGAAUGGUCCAGUGUGCAGGAUCAAAUAAUUGCUCUUUAGUUUGUGCCUUUCGGUUUACAUUUGGUCGAUUUCUACACGGAGACUCAAAUAGAGCACAACACGGUUCUCUCUCCUAAGUCAGUGUUCUAGAUCCACCAUGACCUCGAAGAUUUUGGUGUUUCUAUUACUACAUUACUCUUCUUGUCAUACCAUAGAGUAGAUGUUCUAUCAGGAUUGCUCCCGGCAAUGUGAAGCAUAAGCUUACCAAGCAUAUUAAUGUUGAUGCAUCCAUUGUGCACUCAAGUGUGUAGGAUCGAACUAUUACUCUUCAAUAUGUGCCUUUCCAUUUACACAUGGUCGGUUUCUUCAUGAAGGCUUAGAAAGACGCACAACACAACUUUUACCUCUCCAAACCCACCCACACGGCCCAAAUAGUUGUGGCACCUCAAUCAACAAGCAUGCCAUGUCAUCCCAAGUAGUAGAUCCACGUGUAGACAUAGAAUCUGCCCAGAGCCAUUCGUCAUCGCAGCUAACGCGCAAGCAUGGGGUGGAUGAUUCCUUUCUCCUCCCAGUGCCCUCUUUCGGCCUUCCUCGCUUCCCUUAUCGCCAUCCCCUCACCACUUAACUCCAGGUCCAAAAUCCAAAUGGCGGCGAUGGUCCGCCCCCGACGACGUUUUCACCCCUUCCACCACACCCCUCGUGCACCCUCCGCUCCCUGUCAGAACGGUUGGGCAUCCUUCGCCUAGCUACGGGUUGUUAUGUCGCUGUCUUGGUCCCACAACCCAUAUUCCCUUGGAGGAUGUCGUCAUAGCCGAACGCUCGAGCACCACCUAUCGACGGAGCAGGAGCUAGGCAGUCGGCACCGCAACGACUAACCCACAUGAUGCGUGCACGACGCUACCUGUCGCCCGGGACUAAGGACAACCAACAAGGGAACAUGGGCUGCGACAUCGAGUCAGUGGCACAUAAUCUGACAACCGGGGAAGGACGCCAAAUCGGAUCAACGAGGAACAAAGAUUGCACAACUUCAACACCUACUUCUUUUAAUUUUUAGUUUCAUAGCCUGAUGCUUCUUCGUCAACCUCUUUAGCGAGUCCCUGACUACACUGGUGGUUACGCAACCUCGGUGUCUUUUGGUUCUCCAUCAAAAGAUUUUGCAACUUCACUACUGGACAGUUUGUACUCAUGAGAAGACAAGGGAAAUAUGUUUGGUCUAUUCAUUAGUUUUCAAUAAUAAAGCAUGUAAGAGCCAAUCAAAAAUCCGUUCAUGACUCAAUAAUUCAUAAAUGACAAACUUUUUGGAAUUUUGGGGUUUUGCAACUUAAACACAAAUACGAAAGAAACAACAAAAAGAAAAAAGCAAAGAAAAGCCACAAAGAACAAUCAAAACAUAACAGAGGAAAACAAAAGAACAACAAUAGAGAAAUAUUUU